UACAGAGGGUGCGAGCGUUAAUCGGAAUUACUGGGCGUAAAGCGCACGUAGGCGGCUUUGCAAGUCGGGUGUGAAAUCCCCGGGCUCAACCUGGGAACUGCAUCCGAGACUGCUUUGCUCGAGUAUGGGAGAGGGAAGUGGAAUUUCCGGUGUAGCGGUGAAAUGCGUAGAUAUCGGAAGGAACACCAAUGGCGAAGGCAGCCGCCUGGGCCUGAUCUGACACUGAGACACGAAAGCGUGGGGAUCAAACAGG
rnacentral:rRNA from 1 species